rnacentral:rRNA from 1 species
CGUAGGUAACCUGCCCAUGUGUCCGGGAUAACUGCUGGAAACGGUAGCUAAAACCGGAUAGGUAUACAGAGCGCAUGCUCAGUAUAUUAAAGCGCCCAUCAAGGCGUGAACAUGGAUGGACCUGCGGCGCAUUAGCUAAUUGGUGAGGUAACGGCUCACCAAGGCGAUGAUGCGUAGCCGGCCUGAGAGGGUAAACGGCCACAUUGGGACUGAGACACGGCCCAA